rnacentral:rRNA from 1 species
CCUACGGGGGGCAGCAGUGGGGAAUAUUGGACAAUGGGCGAAAGCCUGAUCCAGCCAUGCCGCGUGUGUGAAGAAGGCCUUCGGGUUGUAAAGCACUUUCAGUGGGGAAGAAAGCCUUGGGGCUAAUACCCUCGAGGAAGGACAUCACCCACAGAAGAAGCACCGGCUAACUCCGUGCCAGCAGCCGCGGUAAUACGGAGGGUGCGAGCGUUAAUCGGAAUUACUGGGCGUAAAGCGCGCGUAGGCGGUCUGAUAAGCCGGUUGUGAAAGCCCCGGGCUCAACCUGGGAACGGCAUCCGGAACUGUCAGGCUAGAGUGCAGGAGAGGAAGGUGGAAUUCCCGGUGUAGCGGUGAAAUGCGUAGAGAUCGGGAAGAAUACCAGUGGCGAAGGCGGCCUUCUGGACUGACACUGACGCUGAGGUGCGAAAGCGUGGGUAGCAAACAGGAUUAGAUACCCCAGUAGUC